rnacentral:rRNA from 1 species
GAUGAACGCUGGCGGCGUGCUUAACACAUGCAAGUCGAACGAUGAAACCCAGCUUGCUGGGUGGAUUAGUGGCGAACGGGUGAGUAACACGUGAGUAACCUGCCCUUGACUCUGGGAUAAGCCUGGGAAACUGGGUCUAAUACUGGAUAUGACUUCUCAUCGCAUGGUGGGGGGUGGAAAGAUUUAUUGGUCUUGGAUGGACUCGCGGCCUAUCAGCUUGUUGGUGAGGUAAUGGCUCACCAAGGCGACGACGGGUAGCCGGCCUGAGAGGGUGACCGGCCACACUGGGACUGAGACACGGCCCAGACUCCUACGGGAGGCAGCAGUGGGGAAUAUUGCACAAUGGGCGCAAGCCUGAUGCAGCGACGCCGCGUGAGGGAUGACGGCCUUCGGGUUGUAAACCUCUUUCAGUAGGGAAGGAGCGAGAGUGACGGUACCUGCAGAAGAAGCGCCGGCUAACUACGUG